AUUGAACGCUGGCGGCAGGCCUAACACAUGCAAGUCGAGCGGAUGAAGGGAGCUUGCUCCUGGAUUCAGCGGCGGACGGGUGAGUAAUGCCUAGGAAUCUGCCUGGUAGUGGGGGAUAACGUCCGGAAACGGGCGCUAAUACCGCAUACGUCCUGAGGGAGAAAGUGGGGGAUCUUCGGACCUCACGCUAUCAGAUGAGCCUAGGUCGGAUUAGCUAGUUGGUGGGGUAAAGGCCUACCAAGGCGACGAUCCGUAACUGGUCUGAGAGGAUGAUCAGUCACACUGGAACUGAGACACGGUCCAGACUCCUACGGGAGGCAGCAGUGGGGAAUAUUGGACAAUGGGCGAAAGCCUGAUCCAGCCAUGCCGCGUGUGUGAAGAAGGUCUUCGGAUUGUAAGGCACUUUAAGUUGGGAGGAAGGGCAGUAAGUUAAUACCUUGCUGUUUUGACGUUACCAGCAGAAUAAGCACCGGCUAACUUCGUG
rnacentral:rRNA from 1 species